CAAACAGUCAGACACAAACAGUCAGACACACACACACAUACACACACAAACACACACAGACACACACACAGUCACACACACACACACAGUCAGACACACACACACACAUACACACACAGUCGACACACACACAGACACACACACACAUACACACACACAGUCAGACACAUACACAGACACACACAGUCAGACACAAACACACACACAAACACACACAGACACACACAGUCACAUACAUACACACACACACACACACACAUACACACACAGUCAGACACACACACACACAUACACACACAGUCAGACACAAAC